rnacentral:lncRNA from 1 species
CACCUGUCCUUCCUAGGGACUUCGGGCUGAAAAUGUCACCUCUCGCACCGUUAAUCCAAGCCCUGCAGGGCUGUUAGGAAGGGAAUUAGCAGCUGGGAUACCCCCAUCCUACAAUGAGGGGGGUUUAGCAAACCCUCCUGAAAUCCCAAGGCCACAGCUUCCUGCAGACGCUUAAGGAACAUGCCAAAUGCAACUGAUCUCCUGAAAAAUGCAAGCACUGCUGGUGAGGGCUGGGGUUCCGGGACGCUUUGCACACCACAGGUCACAGUUUGUGGGGGAGCUUCUCUGGGACCGGCUGACUCUUACCGUCCCCUGGACCCAGGCGGGCGCCGCUCGCAUCCUCCUGGCAGCAUUCGGAACCCUCACGGCUGGACUCGAGGCCCAAGGCAGACAUGGGGACCCCUGGGAGGCGUCCGGGACCCCCAGGACAGGAUUCCAGCCCCCCGGCCAGACGUGGGGACUCCUGGGCGGUGUCCAGGACGCCUGGGGCUGGACCCAAGCCCCCAAGGCUAGAUGUGGGGGACCCCCAGGGCUGGACUCAAGCCCCCAAGGCAGACGAGGGGACCCACCUGGGCGGCGCCCGGGACCCCCCCAGAGCAGGUCCCCAGCCCCAGAGCAGAGGUGGGGACUCCUGGGCGGCGUCCGGGACCCCCAGAGCAGGUCUCCAGCCCCCAGAACAGAGGUGGGGACUCCUGGGCGGCGUCCGGGACCCCCAGAGCAGGUCUCCAGCCCCCAGAGCAGAGGUGGGGACUCCUGGGCGGCGUCCGGGAACCCCAGAGCAGGUCUCCAGCCCCCAGAACAGAGGUGGGGACUCCUGGGCGGCGUCCGGGACCCCCAGAGCAGGUCUCCAGCCCCCAGAACAGAGGUGGGGACUCCUGGGCGGCGUCCGGGACCCCCAGAGCAGGUCUCCAGCCCCCAAGGCAGAUGUGGGGACCCACCUGGGCGGUGUCUGGGACUCCCACGGGGGAACGCCAGUCUCCAAGGCAGACGUGAGGACCCCCGGGCGGCGUCCGGGACCCCCAGGGCUGCACUCGAGCCCCCAAAGCAGACAUGGGGCUCCCUGGGUGGCGUCCGGGACCCCCAGGGCUGGACUCAUGCCCCCAGGGCAGACGUGGGGACUCCUGGGCGGCGUCCGGGACCCCCACGGCGGCACUCCAGGCUCCAGAGCAGACGUAGAGACCCCCGGGCGGUGUCUGGGACCCCCAGGGCUGGACUCGAGCCCCCAAGGCAGACGUGGGGACCCCGGAGCGGCGUUCGGGAUUCCCGGAGAUUGAAGUCAAGCCCCCGAGGCGGCGUUCCGCACCCUCGCAAUCAGACUUGGACUCUACCCAGCGCGGAACGGGGUAGGACGGGAGCGGGAACGAGGCGGGUGAGGGCAGCGCCGCCGGGGCUGGGGGUCCUGGCGCCUACACGGCCGGCGGCUGCACCGGGC